UUCGGUAGCGUUCUUUUUUUCGGUAGUGUUCAUUUUUUUGGUACCGUCCAUUUUUCAAUUAGACCAAUAAUUUCUUGUUUAAGUGCCGUUGUACGUUUUUGCCGGUUACUGUUGUGUUUUAACAGAUUAUAACGAAAACAGUAAGAAAUCUUAUGAUGAGCGAUCGUGGAUCAGGGUAUCACAAAGAAGAGCUGUACAGAUUGGCAAAUCGUCGAGAGAAGUCGAAAGAAGCAUUGAACAGAAAGUGCAUUUGACCAGAAGACUGCACUAACAUUCCCCUGUUAACGGCGGAAGAUUAUAACGAAAACAGUAAGAAAUCUUGAUUAUGAUGAGCGAUUGUGGAUCAUGGCAUCACAAAGAAGAACUGUACAGAUUGAAAACCUAAAGUUGCUCAUCUCGGUGUUAGAUCAAUGAAAAUAGAAAUCACCUUAUACAGAUUAUAACGAAAACAGUAAGAAAUCUUAUGAUGAGCGAUUGUGGAUCUUGGCGUGACAAAGAAGAGCUGUACAGAUUGAAAACUUAUAGUCGCUCAUAUCAAUAAAAAUAGAAAUCACCUUAUACAGGUUCGCGAUCUCUGA